rnacentral:rRNA from 1 species
CCUACGGGGGGCUGCAGUGGGGAAUAUUGCACAAUGGAGGGAACUCUGAUGCAGCGACGCCGCGUGAGUGAAGAAGUAUUUCGGUAUGUAAAGCUCUAUCAGUAGGGAAGAUAAUGACGGUACCUACAUAAGAAGCCCCGGCUAAAUACGUGCCAGCAGCCGCGGUAAUACGUAUGGGGCAAGCGUUAUCCGGAUUUACUGGGUGUAAAGGGAGCGUAGGCGGCAGUACAAGUCGGGAGUGAAAACUCGGGGCUCAACCCCGAGACUGCUCUCGAAACUGUACAGCUAGAGUGCAGGAAGGGCAGGCGGAAUUCCUGGUGUAGCGGUGAAAUGCGUAGAUAUCAGGAGGAACACCGGUGGCGAAGGCGGCCUGCUGGACUGUAACUGACGCUGAGGCUCGAAAGCGUGGGGAGCGAACAGGAUUAGAUACCCUUGUAGUC